UUCAGAUCCACCCAAAUUAUAGCUUUGGCUGUGAAGAAGGGUUGGAAAAAUGACUGCAUAGUGAAAAAGGUAAAGAAUGAAGAUGCCAGAUGACUUGAUGGAGGGCAGACACCCAGCCCAGGACCAGCCAGAGGAACCAGGGCAGAAGAGCACAUUUAUGGUCCUUUUUCCUGCCUUCAUUUCAGAUCCCCCCAGCGCUGUAACUCCAGCUCACAUGAGGCCUGAUUUCCUUCCUUACUCCUAUAUCCACUUCUUAUGCAAACAGCCAUGUUGAGCCACUGUAAUUAUGACAGGAACCAGACAAAUUCUCCUGAUGGUGACAAGCCCAUACUCCCCACUUCUCCCUUUUCCCAUCAAGGACAGGGAAUUUCCACUCCCCUCCACAAAGAGAAAAACUGUGGUGAGACUCUACUGGACUCCCUCCUCUGUGAAGUGACUCAGAUCUGAGCAUGCCUGGCUAGCCCAUUCCUCUUUUGCUCCAAGCUGCCUGUCUGAGCGGACACACUUACAUGCUCUCGUUAGACUCUGUGUGUGACUGCAUGCAUGGUGGGUGCAGUUAGGCAGGUCAUGGUCAGCGUAGAGAGCAGAGUAAGAGGCCUGUGUGGUGGCAUAUCAAAGCCAUGUCAUGUUCUCAAAUUAGCUUCAUCAAAAAUAAAGCUGCUAUUUUGAUAUUUA